GCUCAGCUGGAAGGGGUGGAGCUGGCUCUUCACACUGAACCUCUUAAGAAAGAUCUGGUUCAAAGCCAAGGUUCUGUCUACCUAGCCCCAUGGCCCACGACGGUGUCUUCUCUCUUGCUGCUUAGCAUUUGUGGCUGUAAUUUUAUCUUCAGUUUUGUGCAUUUGGAUCACCAUGGCAGGCGCUGGGGAUCCAAAGAUGUGUGAGAUGCUGUGACUGCCCUUGAGAAUUUUCCAGUGUGAAAGGGAAGAAGGCAUGGGACAGAAGGAUGAACCACCUCUUAGGAGUGCAGAGAAUGGGACAGGAAUUGUACAAGGAAUCUGGUUUGUAGGUCCACAUCAUGUAAUAAUAUACUGAAAAGGACUGGCUGCUGGGCUUCACUGGCUGGAGAGCCCCUUAGAGCACAGUGCGAGGAGCCCUGCAUUUUGGAGUUAGGAGAUCUGGACUGAAAGCAUCUCUCUGCCAGUAACUACUAACUAUGGGGCUACCCAGUGUCAUCCCUACCCCUCAGCAUUCUUGGAGGCAAAGGGUGGAUGACAGACAUCGCCAUCACUGCCCAGCUCCGUAUGCAGCCUGGUUGCUAGAAUUAAAUGAGCUAGUGUUGUGUGAAAGCCCUUUGAGACUCACGCCCCACGAUGUCACCCUCAUCUUGAUUGCGUUCAAGACUAAGGAAGAAGAGCAGGCAGUGUGAUGGCUGAGGAUAAGGAAGACUGAAAAGAUACUUCCCCACCCAGGUUCCUGGGUGACUCCUCACCAUGCAGAACCUCAGCUCCCCAGCAGGCAAGGGGCUUGGCUAUGGGAUUUCAUUCAUUUUCAAAAGGGUCUUGAGAUUGACUUGCUGGUCAAACAGCAGUUGCUCCUCUGGUUGGGUGCAGAUCCCGUGAGCUGUGGUCAUCAGUUUUCCACUCCCUGUGAUUAUCUUUCUCCAUUAUCCCCGUUGUUGGUUUUCUUUUCUUCAUCUAAAGUGCAUUUGCCUGCGUGCACGUGGCAGAGGUGGUUUCCAGCUGUCAGUGGGAACGCUGAGGGUCCCAGAAAGCCGUCCUGGUCUGAUUCCUGUCAUCCUGACAAAGUCCCGCUCUGAUCUGGCAGCUGGGAUUCUUACAAAGGGGCUCAAUCGCAUUAAUUCCCAUAUUCUGGUUCUGUUUGUUCAAAAGGAAAAAAAGAAAAACCAAAUUGAAAAGAAACUCAUUUUCGAGUUGAAAAUUAUGGGGACGCACAGGGUCCAAAGAGACUUGGCUUAGUAGUCAUCUGCCUUUUUGUUUUAAUAUACUUAAAGCCCCAGAUUCUCUUCACUCCC